GACUUGUUGGAGUAGUGGUUAAAUGCUCAACUUGGAAAAUAUGUCAGCUGAUGUCCUUGGUUCAAAUCCCAGACAAUGCU